UACGUAGGCAGCAAGCGUUGUUCGGAGUUACUGGGCGUAAAGGGUGUGUAGGCGGUCUACUAAGUCUGGUGUGAAAUCUCCCGGCUCAACUGGGAGGGUGCGCCGGAAACUGGAAGGCUAGAGUACGGAAGAGGCAAGUGGAAUUCCUGGUGUAGCGGUGGAAUGCGCAGAUAUCAGGAGGAACACCUAUAGCGAAGGCAGCUUGCUGGGACGUUACUGACGCUAAGGCGCGAAAGCGUGGGGAGCGAACAGG
rnacentral:rRNA from 1 species